rnacentral:rRNA from 1 species
AGGACGAACGCUGGCGGCGUGCUUAACACAUGCAAGUCGAGCGGAAAGGCCCUUCGGGGUACUCGAGCGGCGAACGGGUGAGUAACACGUGAGUAACCUGCCCCUAGCUCUGGGAUAGCUCCGGGAAACCGGGAUUAAUACCAGAUACGACCACUUUAGACAUCUGUCGUGGUGGAAAGGAUUCCGGCUAGGGAUGGGCUCGCGGCCUAUCAGCUUGUUGGUGGGGUAACGCCUACCAAGGCGACGACGGUAGCCGGCCUGAGAGGGCGACCGGCCACACUGGGACUGAGACACGGCCCAGACUCCUACGGGAGGCAGCAGUGGGGAAUAUUGCGCAAUGGCGAAAGCCUGACGCAGCGACGCCGCGUGGGGGAUGAAGGCCUUCGGGUUGUAAACCCCUUUCAGCAGGGACGAAGCGAAAGUGACGGUACCUGCAGAAGAAGCGCCGGCUAACUACGUGCCAGCAGCCGC